ensembl:lncRNA
GUGUAUAUGUAUACAGGGUGUAUAUAUACUGUAUAGUGAAUAGGGUGCCAUUUGGGACAUAACCUAGACCAUAACUUGUUCUCAUCAGUUGUAUCUGUGGUUUGAACCCUACAGACAUUGAUGAGUGUCUGAACAAAACCAUGUGUGGUCCCGAUGCCAACUGUACCAACUCUUAUGCAGCACACAGCUGUACCUGCCUCUUUGGUUACCUGCUCACCAGCCCAGAUGCCAUAGCCAGCCCUUUAAACCCAUGCCUAGGUCUGUGACGCGUGUAUGCUUGCAUGUAAAAGUGUGUGUGUAUAUGUGUGGUGUAUCUUUGUAUGUGUAUCCGUUACUGUAUGUGUGUAUAUCCCAGUGUUUGUUUCUCCCUGUAGACAUAGAUGAGUGUGCUAACACCCCUGGUCUAUGUGGUCUCCACUCUGUGUGUACCAAUGCACCAGGGACCUUCCACUGUUCCUGCGUGGAAGGAUACUUCUCCUCCACUGGAGUACUGUGGGAAACUGACGUCACUGUGUGUGAAAGUGUUGAUGAUGUUCUAGCCGCCAUAGUUCCCCCAGAGGGCCAGUCUAAGGAGAUGUACUUCCUCAACCAGAUGAACCAACAGCUGAUGGAGAACCCUGACAUAGUCCUACCAGAGGGGGUCAGUAUAGCAACCUUUACAUCUGGUAGACAUCUGGUGGCGCACAAUUGGCCCAGUGUCGUCUGGGUUAGAGGAGGGUUUGGCCGUCAUUGUAAAUACGAAUUUGUUCUUAACUAACUUUCCUAUUUAAAUAAAGGUUAAAAAAAAUACAAAUUAACAACCCAUAGCUCUUACUAUCUAUUCUAAACACUUCUGUAGAUCUUGAGCCAUAUGUAUCAAAUCUGUCAGAGUAGGAGUGCUGAUCCAGGAUCAGGUUCCCCCUGUCCAUGUAAUUUUGUUCAUGUGAUCUUAAAGUUUCAACUGAUCCUCAAUCAACACUCUUACUCUGAGACGCUUGAGACAAACUGCCACUGACAUGCUCGUUCGUUGAUUUCUGGCGCCACUUAGUGGAUCAUUUGGAAAUGGGUCAGGUUUCAGUACAUAGUUCUAUUCCCGACCCAGAGGGUCCUGUUUAAUGUCUCCACAUGCUAACCAAUGUCAUUGUAUCUCUCCUCCGUUCCUCUCUCCCUUCUUUCUCUCCCAUUUUCCUUUUUCCUCAGUCAGUGACAAACAGCCUCUCGACAGCCCUGGUAAUGCCCCCUUCCAACUCUGUCUCAUGUUUUAAAUAAUAAUUAUCGGAGUAGGGUUAGUUUGUCUUAGUCAAGACAGUAUGUUCAUUAUUAAGUACCUUUACAUGCACACUAAGAAUUCAAUAUGAAACUGAUUAUGGCCGAGUUCUGCUUAUCUUCAUCGGCGUUCCAGCGGUGUAUUUGAUCUGUGCAUGUGCCAGCACCGGGUACCGCACGUUUCCAUCUAAUGCGCCAGUGAAGUGAGUUCGCAAAAACUGUGUGCGUCUUAUAAAUAUUUUUCGCAUACAAACUUUUAUGUCCGAACUCUGAAUCAAAUAGUCUUAUCAAAAAUAACAUGGUCACUGUGUUAGAAUUAUUUCUUGGAUUGGCGAUUUCUGGCGUUUAUCAAAAGUAGCCUGAUCUCAGAUGUGUCAGUGUAAACAGGAUUAUAAGGGAAAUCGUUCUUCUUGCAAAGCAUGCAAACGUUUUAAACAAACUAUUAUAAUAACCUGACUAUCCACAAUAAUCUCCUUAUUGUGUGCAUGUAACCGUUCUCAUUCAUGAAUGAAUUCCUCCAUGAAUUCAUCGAUCUAUCCAUUUCCAUAGAAGGUGUCAGGAGUGGGAACCAUCUCAGCGCAGCAGGCCAGUACAGGCCAGGGGUGGAGUGGGGCUGGAAAGGAUGGCGGGGAGUCUGGCAGUGUGGUCCUGAAGAUCUCAGUGCUCCUGGUGAAUGCCUUAGUGGACCCUUCUCAGGGCCGGGUCAACAAAACCAUACACACACCUGAGCUGGGUAAG